GUAGCGGCGAGCGAACGGGGAGGAGCCCAGAGCCUGAAUCAGCAUGUGUGUUAGUGGAAGCGUCUGGAAAGGCGCGCGAUACAGGGUGACAGCCCCGUACACAAAAGCGCAUGUGCUGUGAGCUCGAUGAGUAGGGCGGGACACGUGGUAUCCUGUCUGAAUAUGGGGGGACCAUCCUCCAAGGCUAAAUACUCCUGACUGACCGAUAGUGAACCAGUACCGUGAGGGAAAGGCGAAAAGAACCCCGGCGAGGGGAGUGAAAAAGAACCUGAAACCGUGUACGUACAAGCAGUGGGAGCACAGGUUUACCUGUGUGACUGCGUACCUUUUGUAUAAUGGGUCAGCGACUUAUAUUCUGUAGCAAGGUUAACCGUAUAGGGGAGCCGGAGGGAAACCGAGUCUUAAUUGGGCGUUAAGUUGCAGGGUAUAGACCCGAAACCCGGUGAUCUAGCCAUGGGCAGGUUGAAGGUUGGGUAACACUAACUGGAGGACCGAACCGACUAAUGUUGAAAAAUUAGCGGAUGACCUGUGGCUGGGGGUGAAAGGCCAAUCAAACCGGGAGAUAGCUGGUUCUCCCCGAAAGCUAUUUAGGUAGCGCCUCGUGAAUUCAUCUCCGGGGGUAGAGCACUGUUUCGGCUAGGGGGCCAUCCCGGCUUACCAACCCGAUGCAAAC
rnacentral:rRNA from 1 species